rnacentral:rRNA from 1 species
CUCGCCAGCUAAAGGUGAGUGCGGCGCACAGCUCAGUAACACGUGGCUAACCUGCCCUUGGGACGAGGACAACCCCGGGAAACUGGGGCUAAUCCUUGAUAGGUGAAGAACUCUGGAAUGAGUCUCCGCCCAAAAGUCGCUUAUGCUAUGCUCGUAGGUGUCGCCCAAGGAUGGGGCCGCGACCGAUCAGGUUGUUGGUGAGGUAACGGCUCACCAAGCCUUUUACCGGUGCGGGCCGUGGGAGCGGGAGCCCGGAGAUGGGCACUGAGACAAGGGCCCAGGCCCUACGGGGCGCAGCAGUCGCGAAAACUUUGCAAUACACGAAAGUGUGACAGGGCUAUCCCGAGUGCCAUCCGCUGAGGAAGGCUUUUACCCAGUCUAGAAAGCUGGGGGAAUAAGGAGAGGGCAAGUCUGGUGUCAGCCGCCGCGGUAAUACCAGCUCUCCGAGUGGUGUGGAUGUUUAUUGGGCCUAAAGCAUCCGUAGCUGGCCAAGUUAGUCCCCUGUUAAAUCCACCGAAUUAAUCGUUGGUGUGCGGGGGAUACUGCUUGGCUAGGGGACGAGAGAGGCAGACGGUAUUUUCGGGGUAGGGGUGAAAUCCUUUAAUCCCGGGAAGACCACCAGUGGCGAAGGCUGUCUGCUAGAACGCGCCCGACGGUGAGGGAUGAAAGCUGGGGGAGCGAACCGGAUUAGAUACCCGGGUAGUCCCAGCCGUAAACGAUGCAGGCUAGGUGUUUGGACGGCCACGCGCCGUUCUAGUGCCGCAAGGAAGCUGUUAAGCCUGCCGCCUGGGGAGUACGAUCGCAAGAUUGAAACUUAA